GUGAAAGCCCACGGCUCAACCGUGGAAGCGCAUUUGAAACUGGCAGGCUUGAGUACCAGAGGGGAAAGUGGAAUUCCCGGCGUAGAGGUGAAAUUCGUAGAUAUCGGGAGGAAUACCGGUGGCGAAGGCGACUUUCUGGCUGGAUACUGACGCUGAGACGCGAAAGCGCGGGGAGCAAACAGGAUUAGAUACCCUGGUAGUCCGCGCCGUAAACGAUGUGAACUGGAUGCAGGGGGUGUUGAUCCCCUCUGUGUCGCAGCCAACGCGCUAAGUUCACCGCCUGGGGAGUACGGCCGCAAGGUUAAAACUCAAAGGAAUUGACGGGGGCCCGCACAAGCGGUGGAGUAUGUGGUUUAAUUCGAUGCAACGCGAAGAACCUUACCUGGUCUUGACAUCCCGGGAAUU
rnacentral:rRNA from 1 species